GUGAAAUAAUCCACCAAUAGAACAAAUACUUCAUCAAUAUUAAGGAAUUGUUUGCUUAUAUCAACUGCCUAUAUCUUACUAAAAAGUUACUUUUAGGUUAGUUUUGUCUUAUUUAAAGUGUACUAAGAUAUUCGCACCAGAAACUAGACCAAAAAUACUUGGUAAGAUUUUUUGCAGUGCGUUUCAGCUGUGACUUUCAAAACGCCGCUUCAGCAAGCGGCAGCUGGCGCAGCGCUGCUGGGUUAGCCUCUGGGUCAGUCAGUCAGUGGAAUUACAGCAGCUAAAUACAAUUAAGGCCUAUCAACAUUUGGUCCGAAAGGUCAGCACAGAUGGAGGAAAACAGACGCAUUAUGGAUUUGGAUUAUUCUCGGAGUCGGGUUUAAUAAAGUGGCUUUUUUCAGCUCUAAAGCCUCGGAUUGUGAGCAAAGCUAAAGCUGCAUGAUAAGAUACAGUGACUGCAGGAUGCAAAGAGAAACAAUGUGAGAAAUCUUUAACAUCCUGACUUAAAAGAAUAAAAAAAAAUUCUGCAUGAAAAAGACAGAAAAGUAACUCUAUCUGCCUGCAGUGCGUGUGAAUGCACAUGUGUGAUCCAGCUGAGAGGGCAGCCUGUGAUGUGACACCGAGGUGAUAUCCCCAUGGCUCUCAUAGUUUUAUUUUGGCCCUGAACUUUGACCUGCAGGUCAGUGCAGCGGGGCAACGAGAGGCAGAGCGCAGCAGAAAGGAGCCAGUGUGUCAAAGGAGCUGACAGACACAUAACAUUAAAGCUUUGGUGGAAAUAAUCCCAGUUUUCUCUGUUUAUGUCAGCUGCUUCUAUUAAAAUCUGUCUUUUAGAUUUAUGCAAAUUUUACCGAAAAAUGAACAUCUUAUCAGAACCACAGCAGGAAACUGGAAUCCAGAAAACAAACUUACUUCUGUUGAAACAAAAUGUUUCAAACUGUGCAGGACCAGACUCCUGCAUGGUUAUUCUGUUGAUUUUAUACAAACGUUUCUUUCCACCGUUACGCUUAAAAACUUAACAGUUCUUUUUAAAAUAAAAUUCACUUCAGGACAUAGGUGUCCAGAAUGCAGCCUGGGGGCCAUUUGUGGCCCCUGGUCUGAUUUUGUACGGCGCAGGCAGUUAAUGCAGAUGGAAACUUUUCAUUUUUACUUUGAAAAGAAAAAGUGAAUUCAGUGUGUUUCUUUCUACUGCAGAGAAUCAAUCAGGAUACGCAAAACUAGUUUUCAGUUUAAAAUGUUUUUUAUGAGAUACUUUAGAAAUGCCAGAGUGAGUGGAGUUUUCUCAGUCACGCAGAGCCGAUCCGACAUCCUGCUGCUCAGAAACACACUUCCUCUUCUUUUAAUCGGGAACAAAGUGAAAAAUCACCGUGAUGAAACUUGUAGCUCCAUCCACUGGUUUUAAACUACAACCGUAGAUUAGGGUGAUGGCACAGAGGUCUUCCAACCUCAAAGACUUUGAGCUCUUUGUCAAAAUACCAGAGGAAUUAUGCAAAACUUUGAUUGCUCUAAUGCCAAUAAGAGUUUCCCGGUAAUGAUUCAGAAAAUCAUAAUUUUUAUAAAAUGUAGAUGAAAACAGAUAAAUAAUUUUUUUGAUGCAACCUUUUGUCGUCUGUUGAGAAAUGCCUGCAUCAUGCUUCUUAAAGGAAUGAGACCAUUUCUAACUGACAGCAGCAUGAAUCAUUUUAGAUUUUUUGAGAGUUCAAACACUAAAAAUAUCUUAAUAUGCAUUAAAACACACUGCGGACCCCAUAUUAUCACUGCAGCAGCAGCUAACAUCUACAGCCUCCUUAUUUCUGCUUUCAGGACUCCAGCCAAUCAGCACAGAGGAAAAUCAACGUUGCUCUUGGAUUGGCUGCAUUGCAAAAAGCAGCCAAUAGAAUGUCUAGUAGCAUUACAACAACAAAUUUCAGUUUCCUAAGCUUCAUUUUCUUUCAAAUAUUUUAGAUAUGCUCAGUGUAAAAAUCCACAAAUAUUUAACUAUGAACUCGGAAUAUUGCACACAAAACCCACAUUAAGACCACUGUAUUUAGGUAAUAUUUAUACUACAUUGUUUUUUACAUUAUAACUGUAAUAAUUUAUAUACUGUAAUAUCUUGCAGCAGCAGGAUUAUUUGUUACUUUUUAUGUAUUUUUAUAUUCUUAUUUUAAAGUUUUAAUACUCCUUUUAAUAUCAAUUUUAUAUUAAAUUUUUCCACACCAUAAAAAUGUCAUAGUUUCCAAAGUCUAAGCUGGUUUUAUUCCUCAGAGGUUCCCUCAAAAGAUCAAGAAGGGCGUUUUGAGAUUCUAUCAGCAUCAAAUUUAUUACAGCAAAUAUGAAAAUGUUGCUCGGUCCUAGGCGAGUGAUGGAAAUAUGUAACAAUUUACGGUGCUUCCAGACAUUAUAUGGUCCAAAUUAAACCAGGUGUUUUAAAGAUGGUUAAAUGUUCUGGUUAUUUGUAGAGAAUUCAGGGGUUGUGCAAACCAGAAGUCUUAAAAUCAAAUGAAUAUUUCAGAAAGAAAGUUUUCUGUACAAUUUUACAACCAGCUUUCCUGUCGUUUGAGGACAAAUCUUAAAAAUGAAGCACCUGCUCAGUAAAAGUGGACUGUCCUGAGUUAUCUGUCAGACAUGAAGGAGCAAUGGCCGCCAGAGAUGCGACAGAGCGUAAGUGGAGGUCGUCCCGAGGCGCCGCUGGACGCAGAACGACAGAAACCGACGGCAGGACUUCAUAUCUGGGAACUCCUGAAUAACCUGCAAACCAUCUCACCCUGAAGCUUGUUUACACCUUUUGAUUCCCAUCAAAAAAUCCCCUUUUGCAUAAACAAUCUGCACCAGACAGUUUCAAUCCUAGCAUCUUUUUAAAUGUAAAAUCCUCCUAAUUUAUACAGAAACACAUUCUGUGCUGAGUUUCGUCCCAGAUGACCGAGCUAAGGAAGAUCCCACUGUGUUUACUUUUGUCACAUUAGCAGCUCAGAACUUUACAAUGAAACUCUGCCCCCCCUCCCCCACAUGUUGCUUCUACUCUGUAACCAGAAGCAUUUUCAGCUGAGAGGAAUUUAAUCAUUAACUCUGCAGCAAUGUGCUCAUGGUUUAACUAUUAGAAACUCCCAAAUAAGACAUUUCUGGGAGAAACGGGUUUUUUAUCAACCGAAGCAGACCAAUCAGGAUUGUUUGAUGGGAAGUCGGAUUAGUCAAUACAUUGUUGGACUUGAACGCUCCCCUGGGAUAUCCCCCUCCGCCCCCCCGCCUCCUCAACGCUCCACACAUUUGGACUUUGACUUCAGUCCGUCCUCUGGUUAUGUUUUAGUUUUGGUUGACCUACAUUUGCCGCCGCUGUAACGUUCUGUCAGGGUGCAAAGUGGGUCAGGAGUGUUCAGAGUGGGAAUUACAGAUUUCUGCGCUAUAAACAGAUGUUGGGUCUGUUUAUCAUCAGAACACGCUGCUAAUUCCACCAUCGCCGUGUCUGUGGGCGCUCACUGCCAAUUCAGGACACACACAGCAGACAGUGUGACCUUAUCAUGGUGUAUAAAUGCAUGUUCUGUCUUCAGUGAUUCGUCCUUUCAGAAUUAAAACAUGCAGUUCACAGGAAGUGUCAUGUUGAUUCUCUUUGCCGACAGAGAAACAACUGCAGCUUCCACAUAGCCGCCUGGCAAAACAACGACUCCACGGCUGCCAGAGCUUCAGACGUUUGAUUCCAACCGAAGGGUCUUCCCGUCAACGAAGUCUUAGACAAAUGAUAUGAUGUUCUACACGGAAAAGAGGUCAGAUGUCCCCUCUGGAGAGAGUGACUUUUAAAUCUGCUACUCGUGAAACCUUUAAAAAGUCUUUUCAGGCAGAUAAAUAUUAAUUUACUGAGCCAGAGUCGUACAAGAGAGAUUCACUCACUUAUUUUCUGCGAGGAAAAUCUGUAAGUGGAGUCAAACACAUGAGAUCUGUCUGCACAUCUGUGGAAAAAUAAAUAAUAUCCACAACAAAACUCUGACUGGUCUCGAAAGGUUUUGUAAGGAUGUGAAAACGUCUAGCGAAAAUCUUCCAUUCCUCCAUUCAGGUGAUGUAUGUGAAAAAAGCAGAAACAGGAGUGCUGGGCGACCCCGGCAGAGGCUGAACGGUCCAGGUCUCUUCCAGGAACCCCAGGAAACAGAUACCAGCAUUAAACAUUCAUAUCAGCUUUCCAGGACUAAUCUAUUAUUCAUAUCAUCCUUAAUUUUCCUGUGAAAACAACUAGUCUAGAGUAACACAGGUCAUGAAAAGCAACUAGCGGAGAUGCAUUUGUGUAGAAGUGCUUCAGUCAAGAGAGAAACCUGAACAUUUCCGCAUCUCCCCCAAAAAUAUUUCAACCGAAAUAUAUUAGUUUAAUGAUAUUUGCACAAAUAAUUAGGCCUGCUCAGAUUAAUAUCUUCUUAUUGAUGAUGAUGGACUCGACUCUUUCAUUUCCAUCAUCACAGCACAACACUUCCUGUUAGGUUCAGCAUGAAAUCUGCUUCAGUUGUGAUCGUCGGCUGUAACACUGACAGACAGAGCAAUCAGUCCUUUAUGACACCAAACCUGCAGAUGCUGUAAUGAUAAACAUGUUGCACAGGUCUAAACAUGAACUUAAUGUUUUUAUUCAAAACAGAAAAGCAAUAACUAAUAUAGCUGCUAAUAUAUGUUGAUUAUGAUGGUGUUAUGUGUAACAUUUAUUUAUUAUUUUUGCUUUUGGUGUAAAGACUAAACCAAAGACAUUGAAUGAACUCUUGCUAAUGAAGUCAUCAUCAGCUGCUUAUUUUGCAGAAUGCAUUUAGACUGAAGGAGUGAAAAUGUUAUUCAUUCAGUCAGCCAGCUAUCUGGCAGCAACAGGUUGGGGAGGGGCUGUACAGAUUUACACUUGAGAAAACUCCACUGGCAGUUUUUCCUGACAUUUCAUUAAAAAUAUUCUACAUUUUUUUGAGAGAAUUUAUUGCACAACAUUUUAAAUCAUUACUUUUUAAAACCUGGGCAUGCUUCAUUACCCUGACCAAUGCCGAAAACUGAUAAAUAAUUAAGCAAUAAUAAAACAGCUGACUAAGGAUUUGAGAAAUGAAGUUCCGUUUAGAUUCCAGAAAUAAAAGAAGAACAAAAAGCGUGUCUCAGAGGGAGGACUUGCACAAACAGCCCCUCUUCUGACAGAACUCCUGGUCAUAAUCUAAAAUGUGACAUUUUACGUCUCGUUAUUAAACUAAAUCAGGAGCAAGAGCAACUUUCUGCAGCCGUAAACACGCAUGCGGCGCAUCAGGAGAUUUCCUCGGGUUCAUCCAGUCGGAAAGGAGCAUGACCGACUCGGUGUGGCUUGCGGGUUUCUUUACAUGCCAGAAUGCAGCAGCCUACAGUCCACAGCAGGCCGAGGCGCAGGAGUUCACUCGCAGGAAGCCUUGAGGGAUCCGCUCAGAUGUGAGCAGGGCGGGUGUUCCUAACCUGUCCGGAGGUGUUUCUUUCUUUCUUUCUUUCUUUCUUUCUUUCUUUCUUUGUUUUUUACUUCAGUAAAGAACAAAGGACAGAGAGGACACGAUCUGUCCUUCAGCGUCCACUGGCCAAGUGUCCUUCAGAGGGAUUUGCUGCUGUUGACCUUAUCCUGUCUCCUGAUUACAUCUCCAUUAAAUGCAGAGAUAUUUAAUGAACUGAGUCUUAAAAGCAGCAGAAUGCACAUAAAUUGCGCACAGUUUGCAUGUUUUACUUAGAUUUCUGCGUAAAUUUGUGCGUGAUUCCAUCUUUUUUCUUAACAUAAAACUUCCCUCAUAUGUAGGCAGGAAAAUGUAAAUUCAAGAUUUCGAAUUUUGAGAUUUAGUCCAAAAUAUGUGACAAAAAUCCAACCAACCGCCGCACAGCAAUUAGCAGAGAUCGCUUUGGUCUCAUUUUGGUUAAAUACGCGCCAGCGCGCGCAUCGUGGGCUGGGUGUCGCUGCUUGAUGAUAAUUAAUAAGGCGAAGUGCUCCUCUUCACCAACACGUUUCCACUGAACCUCUUUGGCAUCAACUGACCCGUUGUUAAUCCAUCACAAUGCAACAAAUGUUGCGGCAUCCUCUUAUAGCUGCUCCCGGUGUCACUGAACAAACAGCAUAAUUAACGCGCAGAAACAAAGGGAGGAUUUUACAUGAAUGCGUCGGAUUUGGAGAAUGUUUGAGGAAUAAGCGGCGAGGGGCCGCAGGUGGGACUGAUUAUUUACCCACAGAAGCGGUUGGACGCGCGGAACCUUGAAGGCGCUGCGCACCUUUACGCACCGGAGUUCUGCCUGGUGCUCUUCCAAAAAUGACAUGUGUCUCCUAAAAACUGGAAAUGCGUCAUGUUUGGACUAAAGUGGACCGAUAUGUGUCAGUUCGGUUUGGCAGCUGCUCUAGAAAUGUCUCAGUUUAGCAUUAAAGACGUGAAAAUGGUCAGAUCUGCCUGAAAGCGUUGCUGCAAAUGUGCAAAUUAAACCGCAGAAAGCGCCACUUGUCUUUGUUCUUUUGCUAAGUUCUCGACCAUAGUGACUAAUAAACAGUACGCACAACGUCACGCACAGAAACACGAUCCUUUGGCCC